rnacentral:rRNA from 1 species
GAUGAACGCUGGCGGCGUGCCUAAUACAUGCAAGUCGAGCGAACACACGAGAAGAUCGCUCUCCUGACGUUAGCGACGGACGGGCGAGUAACACGUACAUCACCUACCACUAUGUCUUGGAUGACUACGGGAAACCGGUGCCACUACUGCAUCAUACAUUCAACCGCAUGGAUCAAUAGUGAAAGGCAGCUUGCCUGUCACAUAGAGACGGUUCCGGGCCGCAUUAGCUAGUUGGUAAGGUAACGGCCUACCAAGGCAACGAUGCGUAGCUGACCUGAGAGGAUGAUCGGCCACACUGGAACUGAGACACGGUCCAGACUCCUACGGGAGGCAGCAGUAGGGAAUCUUGCACAAUGGGCGCAAGCCUGACGGAGCAAUACCGCGUGAGUGAUGAAGGUCUUCGGGUCGUAAAGCUCUGUUAUUAGGAAAGAACAGAAGUGUGAGUAACUAUGCAUGUCUUGACGGUACCUAAUGAGAAAGCCACGGCUAACUUCGUG